UGCCAGCAGCCGCGGUAAUACGGAGGGUGCAAGCGUUAAUCGGAAUUACUGGGCGUAAAGCGUGCGUAGGCGGCUUGAUAAGUUAGAUGUGAAAGCCCCGGGCUCAACCUGGGAACUGCCUCUAAAACUGUCAAGCUUGAGUGCGGAAGAGGAGUGUGGAAUUUCCUGUGUAGCGGUGAAAUGCGUAGAUAUAGGAAGGAACACCAGUGGCGAAGGCGACACUCUGGUCUGACACUGACGCUGAGGUACGAAAGCGUGGGGAGCAAACAGGAUUAGAUA
rnacentral:rRNA from 1 species